CGAAGGGUGCAAGCGUUAAUCGGAAUUACUGGGCGUAAAGCGUGCGUAGAUGGUUCAUUAAGUCGGAUGUGAAAGCCCCGGGCUCAACCUGGGAACUGCAUCCGAUACUGGUGGACUAGAGUGCGGUAGAGGAUGGCGGAAUUCCCGGUGUAGCGGUGAAAUGCGUAGAGAUCGGGAGGAACAUCCGUGGCGAAGGCGGCCAUCUGGACCAGCACUGACGUUGAGGCACGAAAGCGUGGGGAGCAAACAGGAUUAGAUACCCUGGUAGUCCACGCCCUAAACGAUGUCGACUGGAUGUUGGGUGCAACUUGGCACUCAGUAUCGAAGCUAACGCGUUAAGUCGACCGCCUGGGGAGUACGCGCGCAAGCGUG
rnacentral:rRNA from 1 species